GUGCUCACUUCAGUAGCGCAUCCAUGAAAUUGGAACGAUGCCGAGAGGAUUAGCCUGGCCCCUGCGCAAGAAUGGCAGGGAAACUCAUCUGGUCCACGAGCCUCUA